CGACGGGUGGAGUAAUACAUCGGAACGUGUCUUCUAGUGGGGGAUAACUGCCCGAAAGGGCAGCUAAUACCGCAUGAGACCUGAGGGUGAAAGCGGGGGGUCGGCAAGACCUCGCGCUGGAAGAGCGGCCGAUGUCCGAUUAGCUAGUUGGUGAGGUAAAGGCUCACCAAGGCGACGAUCGGUAGCUGGUCUGAGAGGACGACCAGCCACACUGGGACUGAGACACGGCCCAG
rnacentral:rRNA from 1 species